GGUGGUUCAGUGGUACAGCGCUUGCCUUGCAUGCAAGAGGCCCUGGGUUCAAUUCCUCAGCACCA
rnacentral:tRNA from 1 species